rnacentral:rRNA from 1 species
UACGUAGGGGGCAAGCGUUGUCCGGAAUUAUUGGGCGUAAAGAGCGUGUAGGCGGCCCGAUUAGUCCGCUGUGAAAGUCCAGGGCUCAACCCUGGGAUGCCGGUGGAUACUGUCGGGCUCGAGUCCGGAAGAGGCGAGUGGAAUUCCUGGUGUAGCGGUGAAAUGCGCAGAUAUCAGGAGGAACACCAAUGGCGAAGGCAGCUCGCUGGGACGUGACUGACGCUGAGACGCGAAAGCGUGGGGAGCAAACAGGAUUAGAUACC